rnacentral:rRNA from 1 species
UACGGGGGGGGCAAGCGUUGUUCGGAAUUACUGGGCGUAAAGGGCGCGUAGGCGGUUGGAUAAGUCAGCUGUGAAAACCACGGGCUUAACUCGUGGCCUGCAGUUGAGACUGUCUGGCUAGAGUGUGGGAGAGGGAAGUGGAAUUCCUGGUGUAGCGGUGAAAUGCGUAGAUAUCAGGAGGAACACCGGUGGCGAAGGCGGCUUCCUGGACCACAACUGACGCUGAGGCGCGAAAGCUAGGGGAGCAAACAGG